GGAAGAUUAAACUAAGUCGGUCUACUGGUUGCUGUCUUGAAAACAGUUGGGUGUAACAGCCGUGUGAGUCGAGUCUCACAUCUUCCGCCA
rnacentral:tRNA from 1 species